CUGGAUCAUUUUCCGAUG
rnacentral:rRNA from 7 species